rnacentral:lncRNA from 1 species
ACAAAAUACAAGAAAUGAUAUAUAUUAUCAUUAUAAUUAACAAACUAUGAUGUUAAUUAAUCUUUAAACAAUUAACACUACACAAUAUUUAAAAAUAAAAAACAUAAUAAUUUAAAAAAAGUGUUGUGUGAGAAAACAAUAAGAAGCUAAUAAUCAAAGAGUAAAGUGAAAGAUGUAUUAUAUUAAAAGCGUGAGACAUGAGUAAGUAUUGGAAAAGGGUGAAAGACAGAACACUGGAAAUAAUGGAGAGGGAAAACAAUCUCGUACUAGACAGAAAAACGAGGGCAGGAAGGAGCCCUGUACGAGGUGAAAGAAAGUGUAACUUUUUUAGAAGAAGAACAGAGCACCAAUAGUAACUCACACAUUUCAUAGUGUCACUUUCUGUCAUUUUUCACAACAGAAACACCAAAUGGAAGAGGUGACAACUGAGAGAGAAUAAGAGGGUCUACAAAUGUAGCAUUAAAUAGAGAUACAUAGAAAAAGAGAUUGAAUUGAAUUCAUGAGAUGAGACAGAUAAGAUAGGAUGUUUGUCCCACGUGGCUUCUUUUAGUGGCGGUUGGAACCUCAUACUGUCACCUACUGAAUUCAACUCUCUCUUCUCACCAUUUUUGUGUUGUGUUUUGCACUGUGUUUGCUUCACGCAAGAACUCUUCUUCCCUUUCUUUCUCUACUACCAUACUACUAUCUUUCUUAACUUUCCUUCCUUUCCUUCCUUGCGUGGCUUUAAAGUUUCAAUCUUUCCACCAAAUUCAGACCCCCACUCUCCUAACCUUAACAAAAUCUUUCUCAUCAACCUUAGAGACCAUUCCUGCUACCCACUUUCCUCUCCACAUUCAUAUAAUAUUUCAAAAAUAAACACUCUUAUCAUGUCGGAGAAGAACAAAUUACCUAUUAAAUGUUG